rnacentral:rRNA from 1 species
AACGAACGCUGGCGGCGUGCCUAACACAUGCAAGUCGAACGGAAUGAGGGGGCUUGCUCCUUCAUUUAGUGGCGCACGGGUGAGUAACGCGUAGAUAAUCUGCCUGAUGAUCUGGGAUAACAUCUCGAAAGGGGUGCUAAUACCGGAUAAGCCCACGGGGACUUUGGUCUUUGCGGGAAAAGGGGGGGACCUUUUGGCCUUCUGUCAUCAGAUGAGUCUGCGUACCAUUAGCUAGUUGGUAGGGUAAAGGCCUACCAAGGCUACGAUGGUUAGCUGGUUUGAGAGAAUGAUCAGCCACACUGGAACUGAGACACGGUCCAGACUCCUACGGGAGGCAGCAGUGGGGAAUUUUGCGCAAUGGGCGAAAGCCUGACGCAGCAACGCCGCGUGAGUGAUGAAGGCUUUCGGGUCGUAAAGCUCUGUCAGGGGGAAAGAAGUGUAUUGUGGCUAAUAUCCACGAUACUUGACGGUACCCCCAAAGGAAGCACCGGCUAACUCCGUGCCAGCCGCCGCUGUAA